GAAUGUUUGUUUAUUACGACACCACACAUUAUACAACGUUGCAUUAAUUUUCCCAACAAAGCUCCUGGAUCUUGUGAAGUGCAGCUACAGCCAAUUGCUACGUUAGUGGAAAACAUUCGCACUAGUUCGCCUGUCGUCGAGUUGUGCAUCGAAACUUGUACAGUUGUCAUUAGCUGCUUGCAGUUGCGUCCAGGCCCAGCGCAGUUCCCAGCAAUGCAAAGUCCUGAACAAAUGAUUUCGUUCAUGUCUAAGGCAGUUUCGGGAUGUUUUCCUAGUUCAACCAGUUCGUCAGUGAUGGAAACAACGCGAGGGUGGCAAUCCUCCCCUUCAUCAUCAGCCGACCAUAUUUGCCGGAUA